GAGGAGCCUGCGGCGGAUUAGCUAGUUGGUAGGGUAACGGCUUACCAAGGCGACGAUCCGUAACCGGCCUGAGAGGGCGGUCGGUCACACUGACACUGACAUACGGGUCAGACUCCUACGGGAGGCAGCAGUCGGGAAUUUUGGGCAAUGGGCGAAAGCCUGACCCAGCAACGCCGCGUGAAGGAUGAAAUCCCUCGGGAUGUAAACUUCGCAAGAAUGGGAAGAAUGAGCGAGCGCUAAUACCGUUCGUGAUGACGGUACCAUUUGUAAGCUCCGGCUAACUCCGUGCCAGCAGCCGCGGUAAUACGGGGGGAGCAAGCGUUGUUCGGAUUUACUGGGCGUAAAGGGCGCGUAGGCGGCCAGCGCAAGUCAGUUGUGAAAUCUCCGGGCUUAACUCGGAAAGGUCAACUGAUACUGCGCGGCUAGAGUGCGGAAGGGGCAACUGGAAUUCUCGGUGUAGCGGUGAAAUGCGUAGAUAUCGAGAGG
rnacentral:rRNA from 1 species